rnacentral:rRNA from 1 species
GGCCAGACUCCUACGGGAGGCAGCAGUGGGGAAUAUUGCACAAUGGGGGGAACCCUGAUGCAGCGACGCCGCGUGGGUGAAGGAGCACCUCGGUGCGUAAAGCCCUAUCGGCAGGGAAGAAACAGACGGUACCUGACUAAGAAGCCCCGGCUAACUACGUGCCAGCAGCCGCGGUAAUACGUAGGGGGCAAGCGUUAUCCGGAUUUACUGGGUGUAAAGGGAGCGUAGACGGCGAUGCAAGUCUGAAGUGAAAGGCGGGGGCCCAACCCCCGGACUGCUUUGGAAACUGUAUGGCUGGAGUGCAGGAGAGGUAAGUGGAAUUCCUAGUGUAGCGGUGAAAUGCGUAGAUAUUAGGAGGAACACCAGUGGCGAAGGCGGCUUACUGGACUGUAACUGACGUUGAGGCUCGAAAGCGUGGGGAGCAAACAGGAUUAGAUACCCCUGUA